AUUUUGGUCAAUGGGCGAAAGCCUGAACCAGCAACGCCGCGUGGGUGAUGAAGGCCUUCGGGUUGUAAAGCCCUGUCGGGAGGGACGAAACCUCCGGUUAACCGCCGGAGCUGACGGUACCUUCAAAGGAAGCACCGGCUAACUCUGUUCCAGCAGCCGCGGUAAUACAGAGGGUGCAAGCGUUGUUCGGAAUUACUGGGCGUAAAGCGCGUGGAGGCGGCGCAGCAAGUCUUGUGUGAAAGCCCUGGGCUCAACCCAGGAAGUGCGCGAGAUACUGCAGUGCUGGAGUGCUGGAGAGGGUGGCGGAUUUCCCGGUGUAGAGGUGAAAUUCGUAGAUAUCGGGAGGAACACCUGUGGCGAAGGCGGCCACCUGGACAGUGACUGACGCUGAGACGCGAAAGCGUGGGUAGCAAA
rnacentral:rRNA from 1 species